rnacentral:rRNA from 1 species
GCUGCAACCCGACUCCGUGAAGCUGGAUUCGCUAGUAAUCGCGCAUCAGCCAUGGCGCGGUGAAUACGUUCCCGGGCCUUGUACACACCGCCCGUCAAGCCAUGGGAGCCGGGGGUGCUUGAAGUGCGUCGCCGCAAGGCGCGCCCUAGAGCAAAACCGGUGACUGGGGCUAAGUCGUAACAAGGUAAC